CGGAACACGUACGCAACCUUCCUUUAACUGGAGAAUAGCCCCUCGAAAGAGGGAUUAAUACUCCGUAACAUGUACAUGUGGCAUCACAAGUACAUUAUAGCUCCGGCGGUUAAAGAUGGGCGUGCGCCUGAUUAGAUAGUUGGCAGGGUAACGGCCUACCAAGUCUGCGAUCAGUAACUGGUGUGAGAGCACGACCAGUCACACGGGCACUGAGACACGGGCCCG
rnacentral:rRNA from 1 species